rnacentral:rRNA from 4 species
ACCGACUAAUGUUGAAAAAUUAGCGGAUGACCUGUGGCUGGGGGUGAAAGGCCAAUCAAACCGGGAGAUAGCUGGUUCUCCCCGAAAGCUAUUUAGGUAGCGCCUCGUGAAUUCAUCUCCGGGGGUAGAGCACUGUUUCGGCUAGGGGGCCAUCCCGGCUUACCAACCCGAUGCAAACUGCGAAUACCGGAGAAUGUUAUCACGGGAGACACACGGCGGGUGCUAACGUCCGUCGUGAAGAGGGAAACAACCCAGACCGCCAGCUAAGGUCCCAAAGUCAUGGUUAAGUGGGAAACGAUGUGGGAAGGCCCAGACAGCCAGGAUGUUGGCUUAGAAGCAGCCAUCAUUUAAAGAAAGCGUAAUAGCUCACUGGUCGAGUCGGCCUGCGCGGAAGAUGUAACGGGGCUAAACCAUG